AAAGCAUAACUAUGAUGGCAGACAAAGCAGUGUUGGCCAAUCAAUAAGUUUUGUAGUAGCAGACCCUACUGGGAAAGUACAGUUAGCUAAUUAGUAUUGGAUCUUUAUUUUUCUGGAUUCUUCAGUAAUAAAGUAUCAUAAUAUCAUAGUAUGAAAUAUAUUUAUAUACAACAUCCUUUUCGCCUCCUUUAUAUUGUGGGUGUCUCCUCCUGGAUGGCAUAUCCCAUUAUUCUCCCCCAUCUAAUGCACAUAAAUGGCAUGAAAAACUCACAAUGACUUUUAGCUACAUCUUUGCGGACACCAUUCUGAGUGUCUUCUGUGGCAAUACUGUUCUGCCUGGAUAAUAAACGCUGCCUUGAUUAUGUAUGGCAGCCUGCCCCAGUUAGGAACAGGGGAAAAAUACAUAAUCAGGGCAAUAUAGUCAGGACAUGCCGGUUUAUUAUGUACGGCAGUCUAGUUUUAUCUGAGACUUUUAGAACGAACAUACCUGGGCAGGCCGACUUAUGUUUUUAUAUUAUUUCCCACUUUAGAACAAACAUAAUCAGGGGCUGAUCGCUAUUAUAUACACUUCUGACAAGCAAAUAGCCCUGGUGGCAAGAUGACGAAUGUUUAACUGUGAUGAGGAAUGUUAUGUGGUGACGAGUCAGUGAUACUCUGCAUAGUUGACUAAAGUGGCAUUACAUAAUAACAAAAGAAAUGUUGUUAGUUAGGGUAUAUAUGAUGAUAGUGUAGGGAGCACGGGUGGGUGGGAAUCUUUAGCUCUAACCGUUGUUUAGAAAUCCGAAAAUUGAAAUGGACAAUGUAGAAGAUUUAUAGCCUUGUCCUUAUAAGUGAGACAUCACAUAGGUCUCAUACCUUAUUGUGAAAACAAGCAGGUAGGUCAUGCUGGGCUCACGAGUCUAGAGUUGCAACAAGAGUGACAGUGAUACAAGGUGGGGUUAACAGUGUAGACAUAUAAUACGUGUCAAAAUUUUAAACAAUUGCUAAACAAUUGCAUAAGAACAAUAAAUGUUUGAAAAAUUAAACAUUUUACAAAUACUAGUCGGUGCACCAUGAAAAAACACAGGUUCGCUCGUCCUUUCUAUACCGCAUUCAGUGAGUCUCGCUACUUGCUGUACUAUUUCGUGUGACAGACAGACAGACAGACGUAUAUGGGUAUUACAAUAUAGAUUUGGUCAAAUAACAAACAAACUACAUUGGCACUUUAAAUAUUUUUCAAAUUUUAGUGUUCUUUCAACAAUUUGUCUCAUUUUAAAAUACAGGUACACAUUGGGUGGGUGUAGUAGUAGCUAAACAUUGUUUAGGGCAAUGUGAGAAAUCAAUUGUUUAUAAAAAAAAAUUGUAGUUAAGUCACAAAACUUAAUCUGGUGAUUUUCUCUGAUCAGGUCUGUACCAGUAAAAACUUACACAAGGCUGAAUUUUCUUAUUUUUAGAGUCUUUAGCAUGAUUUGUUCUUAUUUUUUUCUUAAUAGAAAGAAAGCAAGUUUAAAAUUGAGCUUCAUUUUGUUCAUAUUUAUGAAACUUUUAAAAAAUUUGUUAAGGAAAUAUUGUUUUGGCCAAUAUUAUUUUGCAGAGAGAAAAGAUGAUGACAAGCAACAAAAAAAAUAAUUAGCUUGAGAGAGAAUUGCAAGAAAAUUCACAUUCUGGAUUGUUUCUUUUUUACAACAUAAGAUUGAUUUUCCGAUGCUAAGUGUCUUUUUACAAUAAGAUUUCAAUCCCUCUUAUCGUAUGUUGACAUAUCCUAAAAUGGAUAAAAAAUCAACAAGCAUUAUGAACAAGCUUGUCAAAAAAUAUCUUGUACAUAUGUUUGAUACUGUUGUUAUUAAUGUGUCAGGUUAAAAGCAUCAAGGUGAUGUGCUUGUCAUAUUUUGUGAAUUAAAAAUUGAUACAUAUUAUAAAUAUAGGUAUAGAUACAUAACAUUACAAAUGAAUCCUAUGUACAGAGUAAAGAUUCCAACACCCCAACCACGUUAUGUCUUUCUUAGCAAGUUAGGUGGUGGUCUUCUCUGGUUCUGGGUGUUAUGGAGAGCUAAGCAUGAUUGGAAUACCCUCUUUACUCAUUUUGAUGCUGAUAAAGUUUGGCAAAUCCCCGAUCCUAAUGCGAAAUCAUCUCAUCACUAACGUUGUGUCAGUUGUAUAUAUAUAUGUAUUAGUUUUUACAGUACCAAAAUAUAUCUUAAAUAUGA